AAGUCGUAACAAGGUUUCCGUAGGUGAACCUGCGGAAGGAUCAUGAACACGUAUCCGCGUUAACAGCAACCCUGUGAACCUUGAACGUGUUCCUGCAGCCCCAUAAAAUCAGCAAUCCCUGGUAAAUCAUUGUUGACCAGCUUUUGAGUCAGGGACCUCUGCCGAAACGGCUGUUCAGUACCGAGCGCGGCCUGGCAUCAGUGUCUGGAAGUGUCAUUGAUUGUGUAAGGAUGCCGGCAACCGGGUCUCAGGGCUCACCCCUUAUCACCCCACAGUUUCCGACUGGUCAGCCGAUAGUACGGACGCCGUAAAAACUGAACAACCGUUAACAAUGAUAUCUUGGUUC
rnacentral:misc_RNA from 1 species